rnacentral:rRNA from 1 species
GGGGGAUACCUUAGUACGGCGAGUGAGCGGUAAAAGCUCAAAUUUGAAAUCUGGUACUUUCAGUGCCCGAGUUGUAAUUUGUAGAAUUUGUCUUUGAUUAGGUCCUUGUCUAUGUUCCUUGGAACAGGACGUCAUAGAGGGUGAGAAUCCCGUUUGGCGAGGAUACCUUUUCUCUGUAAGACUUUUUCGAAGAGUCGAGUUGUUUGGGAAUGCAGCUCAAAGUGGGUGGUAAAUUCCAUCUAAAGCUAAAUAUUGGCGAGAGACCGAUAGCGAACAAGUACAGUGAUGGAAAGAUGAAAAGAACUUUGAAAAGAGAGUGAAAAAGUACGUGAAAUUGUUGAAAGGGAAGGGCAUUUGAUCAGACAUGGUGUUUUUUGCAUGCACUCGCCUCUCGUGGGCUUGGGCCUCUCAAAAAUUUCACUGGGCCAACAUCAAUUCUGGCAGCAGGAUAAAUCAUUAAGAAUGUAGCUACUUCGGUAGUGUUAUAGCUUUUUGGAAUACUGUUAGCCGGGAUUGAGGACUGCGCUUCGGCAAGGAUGUUGGCAUAAUGGUUAAAUGCCGCCCGUCUUGAAC